CACGUACUACAAUGGUCGGUACAGAGGGUUGCAAUACCGCGAGGUGGAGCCAAUCCCAGAAAGCCGACCCCAGUCCGGAUCGAAGUCUGCAACUCGACUUCGUGAAGUCGGAAUCGCUAGUAAUCGCGGAUCAGCUAUGCCGCGGUGAAUACGUUCCCGGGCCUUGUACACACCGCCCGUCACACCAUGGGAGUGAGUUGCUCCAGAAGCCGUUAGUCUAACCGCAAGGGGGACGACGACCACGGAGUGGUUCAUGACUGGGGUGAAGUCGUAAACAAGGUAGCCGCAUCGGAAGGUGCGGCUGGAUCACCUCCU
rnacentral:rRNA from 1 species